rnacentral:hammerhead_ribozyme from 1 species
AUCCAGCUGACGAGUUCGAAAUAGGACGAAAUGCUAGUCUUGGAU